GACGAACGCUGGCGGCGUGCCUAAUACAUGCAAGUAGGACGCAGUUGCGAACGGGUGAGUAACGCGUAGGUAACUACCUAUUAGAGGGGGAUAACUAUUGGAAACGAUAGCUAAUACCGCAUACUAGUAGAUGGACCUGCGUUGUAUUAGCUAGUAGGUAGGGGAAUGGCAUACCUAGGCAACGAGAAAUAGCCGAACUGAGAGGUUGAGCGGCCAGACGUGGACUGAGACACGGCCAAGACUCCUACGGGAUGCAGCAGUAGGGAAGCUUCGGCAAUGGGGGGAACCCUGACCGAGCAACGCCGCGUGAGUGAGGAAGGUUUUCGGAUCGUAAAGCUCUGUUGUUAAGGAAGCGGUACUUAACCAGAAAGGGACGGCUAACUACGUGCCAGCAGCCGCGGUAAUAC
rnacentral:rRNA from 1 species